AGAAAAGCCAAAAAAAA
rnacentral:sRNA from 1 species